rnacentral:lncRNA from 1 species
UUUUUUUUAUUUUAGGUGAGUGCACUGUAGCUGUCUUCAGACACAGCAGAAGAGGGCAUCAGAUCUCAUUACAGAUGGUUGUGAGCCACCAUGCGGUUGCUGGGAAUUGAACUCAGGACCUCUGGAAGAGCAUUCGGUGCUCUUAACCACUGAGCCAUCUCUCCAGCCCCAUAACUACAGAAGAAUUCGUGUGUCCCCGCGUGUUCUUGCUGGCGAGAUAGUGUGGGGCAUCUGGUGCCGAAACCCGGGAUAAAAACGCCACACCAUCGCCAGGCGCCGAGAGAGAGGUCCUCCGUCUGCGGAGAGAAUCCAAAGCUACAGGACGUGGGUAGGCUCUGAGAGAUAUGUUUGGUCUUGAUCUGUUCUACUUCUCUCCCCCGCUAGAAGAUGGCGGAAGUUUUUGUUAUCGUUUUAGCAGCCUUCAUGCUUUCUCUUUUGGUUUUUGAUUUUUUGGCUGCUGCUAGACAGCGUCAGAGGUCGUAUGGGAGCCGCCCAACUGUAAUAGCAGGACAGACAGUGCUAGGGGAGUUACAAGGCAACAUGUCAAAAACAGAGCGGGGUAAAAAAUUAAAGAGCUCAAGGAGAAAAGAUAAAUAUAAACAAAAAGGCCCUUCCAAAGACUCCAGAUCUGAGGAAGCGAGAGGUUGGGGAAAGAACGCCCCGGGAGAGAUGAAACAGAGAAAGGAGAAAAAAGUCUUGAAAAGGAAAAGUCUUUAUCCAGUAAAGGAGUUAGAGGCUUCAGAGCAUGAUAUCUC